UCUUCCUCUAGACAGCAGCAGCUGUCAGGGACGGCGAGAAAGAGCAAGGGUCCCCUGGGGGGUGUCCACUGAGGCACCCCUACCCUUCUCCCCCAGACUGCCCCCGGAUCCAUCCGACCCGAAACCAACUCCCGCAUCCCUACUCGAGGAAGCCCCGGAGUCUCGCCGCUUGGUGAGGGUGUGUGUCCACCUGACUGCGGCCCUCAGAACCCCCAAAUGGAGGCCAGGGCUGGAGAGCUGUCUCCGCCUCCUCCAACUCACUUCCCUGGGGCCACAUCAAGCCAGGUUUUUCCACCAGCCGAAAGACCUCCUCAGCCAAGACAGUACUGAACCUCCCAGACUAGCAACAACCACGUCAUCCACCGCUGUCCAUCCCCUCCCCCCUGACCUGAAGAGGACU
rnacentral:lncRNA from 1 species